UAUUAACCAAUCUGUUAAAAAAAAUUACAAGUGUACUAAGACGAAAGUACUACACUUAUGGCACUAGAUCCAACAAUACACACCUUAUGUAGUAGGCCUAAUUUGCCCGGGCCCAAAGCAAAUAAAUAAAACCCAAAAUAAAUAUAAAUAGUCCAUAGUCAAAAAAAUCACAAGCCCAAUACAGAAAUGCCUAACCCUAGCCCAACUAAACCCAACUAACAAACAAAAAAACAAAGCAAAAAACCCAAGCCCCCUUCAACAGCCGCCGCCGCCUCUCCCACGCACGCCGCUCCUCCACGUCAACACCAUAC
rnacentral:lncRNA from 1 species